rnacentral:rRNA from 1 species
GAUGAACGCUGGCGGCGUGCUUAAUACAUGCAAGUCGAGCGAAGUGGGGACGGGUGAGUAACACGUGGAUAACCUCCUAUAAGACUGGGAUAACUUCGGGAAACCGGAGCUAAACCGGAUACUGAUGGAUGGAUCCGCUAGGCAUUAGCUAGUUGGGAAGGUAACGGCUUACAAAGGCAACGAUGAAUAGCCGACCUGGGAGGGUGAUCGGCCAGACUGGACCUGAGACGCGGUCCAGACUCCUACGAGAGGCAGCAGUAGGGAAACUUCCGCAAUGGGCGAAAGCCUGACGAGACAACUCCGCGUGAGUGAUGAAGGUCUUCGGAUCUUAAAACUCUUUAAUUAGUGUAGCGGUACCUAAUCAGAAAGCCACGGCUAACUACGUGCCAGCAGCCGCGGUAAUAC